UGGGGGAUUUUGCACAAUGGGCGCAAGCCUGAUGCAGCGACGCCGCGUGAGGGAUGAAGGCCUUCGGGUUGUAAACCUCUUUCGCUGGGUUGAAAGGCCAUGCUCUGGGUGUGGUUGAUUUGAACUGGUAAAGAAGUACCGGCUAACUACGUGCCAGCAGCCGCGGUAAUACGUAGGGUACUAGCGUUGUCCGGAUUUAUUGGGCGUCAAGGGCUUGUAGUUGGUUUGUCGCGUCUGUCGUGAAAUCCUGUGGCUUAACCAUGGGCUUGCGGUGGGGACGGGCAGGCUUGAGUGCGGUAGGGGGGACUGGAAUUCCUGGGGUAGCGGUGGAAUGCGCAGAUAUCAGGAGGGACACCGGUGGCGAAGGCGGGUCUCUGGGCCGUUACUGACACUGAGGGGCGAAAGCGUGGGGAGCGAACAGG
rnacentral:rRNA from 1 species